GCCGGCACUCCUAAAGGGGCCGCUGCAGCUCGCUUCGGUUCAGUUCGGUUCGGUACUCCGGUGGCAGAAGGCCGGGGUGAGGGUUUACUUGAGAGUAAGUGGUGCCUCAGCCGCUGUGGUGGUUAAGGCAUCACCCGCGGGAUGGUGGCUGGUUUCACUGGGUACUGCGUUGCUCGAGGGGCGAUAAGAGAGUGAGGACACUUAGUCCGUUCGAAAAUAGGCGGGUAAAUAAUUAAAAUCAUAGUAAAGCUGCGCUAAAGAGGGGUAAAGAGACAAAAUCUUUUCUUGGGAGUUCUGUGAUAUCUUAGAACCUCUUCUCUGUUUGUUAGUGAAAUAUGCUUUUAGCGACUUCUGUAAAUACUAAAUGACCUUUUAUCAGGCUCUCCUAUUGUUGAUAAGACAGAAAUCGGUUUCCACCCUCUUCUAGCUCUAUACUAACACUUAAAAGCUAUCAGUGAAUAAAUGAAGUAAAAAAACCCAACCAAACUUCCAGAGGAAAGGAAGAUGAAGAAAGCUGAGAGGCACAUCGCGGUAUUUCAGCCUGUGCUGUGUGCAAGAUCCCUGUUGUGUGUAGGACUGAGCUACUGCGACAGUCAAGGAACGUUGUCAGCAGGAGCUGUGUUAUCUUAAAGACAUGUUACGAAGCAAGAAUCGGGCGUGUUUUAGCAUUUUCAA